AGUGAACGCUGGCGGUAGGCCUAACACAUGCAAGUCGAACGGCAGCACAGUAAGAGCUUGCUCUUACGGGUGGCGAGUGGCGGACGGGUGAGGAAUACAUCGGAAUCUACUUUUUCGUGGGGGAUAACGUAGGGAAACUUACGCUAAUACCGCAUACGACCUACGGGUGAAAGCAGGGGAUCUUCGGACCUUGCGCGAUUGAAUGAGCCGAUGUCGGAUUAGCUAGUUGGUGGGGUAAAGGCCCACCAAGGCGACGAUCCGUAGCUGGUCUGAGAGGAUGAUCAGCCACACUGGAACUGAGACACGGUCCAGACUCCUACGGGAGGCAGCAGUGGGGAAUAUUGGACAAUGGGCGCAAGCCUGAUCCAGCCAUACCGCGUGGGUGAAGAAGGCCUUCGGGUUGUAAAGCCCUUUUGUUGGGAAAGAAAAGCAGCAGGUUAAUACCACGCUGUUCUGACGGUACCCAAAGAAUAAGCACCGGCUAACUUCGUG
rnacentral:rRNA from 1 species